AUUGAACGCUGGCGGCAUGCCUUACACAUGCAAGUCGAACGGCAGCACGGGUGCUUGCACCUGGUGGCGAGUGGCGAACGGGUGAGUAAUACAUCGGAACAUGUCCUGUAGUGGGGGAUAGCCCGGCGAAAGCCGGAUUAAUACCGCAUACGAUCUACGGAUGAAAGCGGGGGCCCUUCGGGCCUCGCGCUAUAGGGUUGGCCGAUGGCUGAUUAGCUCGUUGGUGGGGUAAAGGCCUACCAAGGCGACGAUCAGUAGCUGGUCUGAGAGGACGACCAGCCACACUGGGACUGAGACACGGCCCAGACUCCUACGGGAGGCAGCAGUGGGGAAUUUUGGACAAUGGGCGAAAGCCUGAUCCAGCAAUGCCGCGUGUGUGAAGAAGGCCUUCGGGUUGUAAAGCACUUUUGUCCGGAAAGAAAUCCUUGGCCCUAAUACGGUCGGGGGAUGACGGUACCGGAAGAAUAAGCACCGGCUAACUACGUG
rnacentral:rRNA from 1 species